rnacentral:lncRNA from 1 species
GGGAGAGGGAGAGAGGGAGGGAGGGACGGAGGGAGAGGGGGGAGAGGGAGAGAGGGAGGGAGGGACGGAGGGAGAGAGAGAGAGAGAGAGAGAGAGAGAUUUUUUAAAUUUUAUAUGUUAGUCACGGUCUAUUGUUGGUUGGAAUUUUUUCUUAUUAGAUUUAACAUUUUGGUGUAAAACGGUUAAAGUAAGAAUAGUUUAGGUAACACUUGUGGCAAAAAAAGGGGAUAAAACCAUGACCAACUUGGUCAAGGG